rnacentral:lncRNA from 1 species
GGAGAGAUGCUUGAGCGGGCUUUAUUUAUCUCAUCCAAGCAUCAAACAUGACCUAGCAGCUUUGGAGCAUUCAACAAGCACCUCAGCCCAUCACGCUCCAGCCGCAUCUGAUUUGAUUGGAUAUUAGCUUUCACAUUCCAGCAAUUGCUGCUACAGCUUGCACACAUACAUUUUGAUUGAAGGAAAGUGGGCAGCCCAUUAAGUAAAAGGAGUGUGUCUCGGCCAAGAAUUGGAACUUGGACUCAAUUAAAUUAAAGAGGUGCAUAAUAUUUCGUUUGUGGGACUGCUGCCCCAUCCUAAAUGGCCCAGCAAGGAAUGCGGCAAUAUAUAUAUUAGAUAGGGCAUUCAUGUUUCGGAGGUGGAGUGUGUCACAGCCUGGAGGAGUGCAGUUGUCACUGCAUUUGAUUAAAAGAGCAAGCGGGCCAUAAGCAAUGGUAACGUCCAGAGGCUGAUUUCAUUUAGAAAAAAAAAGGGUACGUGCGGUCCAGCUGGAAGAUGCACGCUGUUUUCAAUUGGGCUUGGAGAAGGCAAGCCUGCACAUGGAGAGGAGAAAGAAAGUAGCUGGUCCAGCAGGCAGCAGCCACACACAAUUAAUACACCGUCCAAGUGACUUGGAGAGUUGUGCUUCAAUUGGUAGGGGUGGCAUCAAGCAAAAAGAAGUGUGUCAUAGUUUUGGAUGCGCUGAUGGUCUUCACGGAAGCACAUUCUCAUUUUCUUUGGUGAUUUUGGAUAGAAUUGGCAGAGGGGGCCUAUGGGGAAAAAGAGGAAGGCAUAUGUAGGCACACAACCCUAGGGGACAAAAAAAAAUGCUCUGUGACAGCCGCCACCUUUAACAAAGAAUGUUUUAUUUUCAUUCUCGAAGAUUUUUAGAACACACGCUAGUUUUAAAUUAAUUUUCUUUUUAGAGAAUAGAUGUAGUCCAGCUGUCGACACACACUCACGAAGGUAUCUAUGCUUGAGAGAAACUCGCUGACUCAUCUUAUGGGAGAAGAGUAGCGCAUGGUCUGGGAUGAAGGAACACGCUGAUUUCAUCUAGCUCACGUCCAUUGUUGGAAAGCACUUGCAUUUAAUGUUUGAUUGAAAAGCUUACUUAUUCAAUUCAUUUUGUUGUUCCCNUCUUUUUUUUAUAGAUAUUUCAUUUCAAAUUCCAAUUUUCGAAUUCUANCUNCAUGUCNUCAUUAAAUNUGUACAUUUUAUUCCAAGUGUUUCAAUUCNCUGCAUCUAAUUGUUUCACGANUUUAAUUUCUUUUAUUACAGCCGCCAUCAUCAACCACCACUUUGUUUUCUUAUUAGCUUAAUUGCGCAUUUAAGUUUGUUCCCGUCUUGAUUGAUAAUUGCAUUUUCUUUUACACAAGCAUUUUCUUUAUUAUCUAUUACAAUUUAAUUAGUUUGCACACCUUGCUUUAGUAUGUUCAAUUUAAUCUUUUCGUUUACUAUGUUAUCUGUUAUGUUCGGUUUAUCGUUUAAGUUCACUAUGAUGUUUAUUCUGUCCAGUUUCUUUAUUUUCCUACAUUUCAAAUUUCCUCACUUGCCUUAGAGAUCAUUCGGUCUCAAUGUAGAACCGUUCGGUCAUCUGUAGGACCGUUCGGUCUUCAUACUUUGUUCAAUUAUUUUAAUAUUUUCAAUUAUGUCUGGUUGUACUUAAUUUCCAGUUUUAAUUUAGUUUUAAUUCUCCCCCC